UACGUAGGGUGCGAGCGUUGUCCGGAAUUAUUGGGCGUAAAGGGCUCGUAGGCGGUCUGUCGCGUCGGGAGUGAAAACUCAGGGCUUAACCCUGAGCCUGCUUCCGAUACGGGCAGACUAGAGGUAUGCAGGGGAGAACGGAAUUCCUGGUGUAGCGGUGAAAUGCGCAGAUAUCAGGAGGAACACCGGUGGCGAAGGCGGGUCUCUGGGCCGAUACUGACGCUGAGGAGCGAAAGCGUGGGGAGCGAACAGG
rnacentral:rRNA from 2 species